UGGGAAAUAUUGCACAAUGGGGGAAACCCUGAUGCAGCGACGCCGCGUGAACGAAGAAGGUAUUCGUAUCGUAAAGUUCUGUCCUAUGGGAAGAUAAUGACAGUACCAUAGAAGAAAGCUCCGGCUAAAUACGUGCCAGCAGCCGCGGUAAUACGUAUGGAGCGAGCGUUGUCCGGAAUUAUUGGGCGUAAAGGGUACGCAGGCGGUUUAAUAAGUCGAAUGUUAAAGAUCGGGGCUCAACCCCGCAAAGCAUUGGAAACUGAUAAACUUGAGUAGUGGAGAGGAAAGUGGAAUUCCUAGUGUAGUGGUGAAAUACGUAGAUAUUAGGAGGAAUACCAGUAGCGAAGGCGACUUUCUGGACACAAACUGACGCUGAGGUACGAAAGCGUGGGGAGCAAACAGG
rnacentral:rRNA from 1 species